GACGAACGCUGGCGGCGUGCUUAACACAUGCAAGUCGAACGGAAAGGCCCUGCUCUUGUGGGGUGCUCGAGUGGCGAACGGGUGAGUAACACGUGAGUAACCUGCCCUUGACUUUGGGAUAACUUCAGGAAACUGGGGCUAAUACCGGAUAGGAGCUCCUGCUGCAUGGUGGGGGUUGGAAAGAUUCGGCGGUUGGGGAUGGACUCGCGGCUUAUCAGCUUGUUGGUGGGGUAGUGGCUUACCAAGGCUUUGACGGGUAGCCGGCCUGAGAGGGUGACCGGCCACAUUGGGACUGAGAUACGGCCCAGACGCCUACGGGAGGCAGCAGUGGGGAAUAUUGCGCAAUGGGCGGAAGCCUGAGGCAGCAACGCCGCGUGCGGGAUGACGGCCUUCGGGUUGUAAACCGAUUUCGACUGUGACGAAGAGUGAGUGACGGUAAUGGGUAAAGAAGCACCGGCUAACUACGUG
rnacentral:rRNA from 1 species